GAUUUCACCUUCAGUAUACUGCUGGAGGGCCAGAACAAGGAGUUAAUGAGAACAGCAUCUAUGAGGCGUGCCAUGACUGUUGGGUGGAGCAGAGAGGGCAGUUUUUGCCAUAAAAAAAUACAACAGCUGGUUGGGCAUGGUGGCUCAUGCUUGUAAUCCCAGCACUUACGGAGGCCGAGGAGGGCGGAUCACCCAAGGUCAGGAGUUCGAGACCAGCCUGGCCAACAUAGUAAAACCCCGUCUCUACUAAAAAUACAAAAAUUAACCGUGUUUGGUGGCACUCACCUAUAGUCACAGCAACUCAGGAGGCUGAGGCAGCAGAACUGCUUGAACCCGGCAGGCGGAGGUUGCAAGUGAGUCGAGUCGCGCCACUGCACUCUAGCCUGGCCAGCAGAGCGAGACUCCCUCUCCAAAAAA
rnacentral:lncRNA from 1 species